rnacentral:rRNA from 1 species
GACGAACGCUGGCGGCGUGCUUAACACAUGCAAGUCGAGCGGAGCGGCGAACGGGUGCGUAACGCGUGAGUAACUGCCCCCCUCUCUGGGCUAACAGUUGGAAACGGCUGCUAAUACCGGAUAGUGUGGGAUGACUCGCGUCCUAUCAGGUUGUUGGUGGGGUAGUGGCCUCCCAAGGCGACGACGGGUAGCCGGCCUGAGCGGGCGACCGGCAACAUUGGGCUGAGAUACGGCGCAAACGCCUACAGGGGGCAGGAGGGGGGAAUAUUGACCAAUGGGGGAAACCGUGAGGCAGGAACGCCGCGUGCGGGAUGACGGCCUUCGGGUUGUAAACCGCUUUCAGCCAUGACGCGGUAGUGGCAGAAGAAGCACCGGCUAACUACGUGCCAGCAGCCGCGGUAAUUC